rnacentral:rRNA from 1 species
AUUGAACGCUGGCGGCAUGCCUUACACAUGCAAGUCGAACGGCAGCACGGGAGCAAUCCUGGUGGCGAGUGGCGAACGGGUGAGUAAAAUAUCGGAACGUGCCCAGUCGUGGGGGAUAACGUAGCGAAAGUUACGCUAAUACCGCAUACGAUCUAUGGAUGAAAGCGGGGGAUCGCAAGACCUCGCGCGAUUGGAGCGGCCGAUAUCAGAUUAGGUAGUUGGUGGGGUAAAGGCUCACCAAGCCGACGAUCUGUAGCUGGUCUGAGAGGACGACCUGCCAGCCUGGGACGGAGACACGGCCCAGACUCCUACGGGGGGCAGCAGUGGGGAAUUUUGGACAAUGGGCGAAAGCCUGAUCCAGCCAUGCCGCGUGCAGGAUGAAGGCCUUCGGGUUGUAAACUGCUUUUGUACGGAACGAAAAGGUUUGGCCUAAUAAGCUGAGCUCAUGACGGUACCGUAAGAAUAAGCACCGGCUAACUACGUGCCAGCAGCCGCGGUAA